AAAGAGCUGGAGCAGGCCUGCUGAGAGGCCCAUAAAAUCUCUGCCUGCAAUUCCCUGCCGCCAUAUGCUCCAAGAGGUGUUUGUUCGGCAUUUGCUCGGUUUCAGGCUUCUCAACUAUGUCCUUGACGUCUACUACCAUGUAUGGACCGUAUCUCUAAACUCAAUCUCUUUCCUGAGAUCUGCCUGCAUUCCAGAAACCUAGAAAUUCACAGAAGACUU
rnacentral:lncRNA from 1 species